ACUCCUACGGGAGGCAGCAGUGAGGAAUUUUGGACAAUGGGGGAAACCCUGAUCCAGCGACGCCGCGUGUGGGAUGAAGGGUUAUGCCCUGUAAACCACUGUCAGCAGAGAAGAAAAGGCUCUUUUAGAGCCCGGGACUGUAUCUGCAGAGGAAGGACCGGCUAACUACGUGCCAGCAGCCGCGGUAAUACGUAGGGUCCAAGCGUUGUCCGGAAUUACUGGGUAUAAAGGGGUGCGUAGGCGGCUUUGUGCGUCGAAGGUUAAAGGCCAUGGCUCAACCAUGGAAAUGCCCUCGAUACGGCAAAAGCUUGAGUGUGAGAGAGGAAGAUGGAAUUCCUGGUGUAGCAGUGAAAUGCGUAGAUAUCAGGAGGAACACCGGUGGCGAAGGCGGUCUUCUGGCUCACUACUGACGCUGAGGCACGAAAGUGUGGGGAGCGAAACAGGAUUAGAUACCCUGGUAGGAUAGCCU
rnacentral:rRNA from 1 species